UCAACGUGGAAACAUGCGGGAUCCAGUGCCUGAGUGUUUCUGAGUUUGAACCUGAUCUAGCUGCUCCUGCUGUCAAGUUUCCCCGGCCUCCAGCUCCGCGUGGCCGCUGCUCGGUUUUCCUCGCUCGCUCAGAAUGUCCGUGAACGCAUCAGAGCCGGAGCUGAUCCAGCUGAUCUUCUCCCACCUGAAGGAGCAUGGGUUCCACUCAGCUGCAGAGGAGCUCCAGAGGCUCAGCCCACAGGGGGACACAAAACUGUCUUCAUCCCUACAAGACAUCUACAGUUCAUGGCUGAAGAACUCCAAAAGGAAAAAGCAUUCUGCUUCUGCCAAAACGGCCAAAUCAAAAGGCGGAGGAACACCAACCAAAGCUAAACGAACCACUUCGAACAAGAAGGACAAACCUCCAAAGAAGACCGAGACAAAAAAGGCUGUUCCAGCGAAAAGGAAAAAACGAGAAGGGAAACCUGCCGGGGAUGUCAAGGCAAAGAAAUCAAAGAGUAAAGGAACGAAGAAGACUGCAGGUGCAGAGGGUUCGGACUCUGACAGCAGUCUGGAUGUAGAGAAGUGGAAGAAACUGCUCCUGACCAUGACGGAGGCUGACCAAGCCAAGAUGGACAGCAUCAACGCUCUGGACUCCACCGCGCCUGCGCCCAAGAAGAGAGUCAGAAAACCCCGAGCUAAGCCCUCGGCAAAAACGGCCUCUCCCGGCCAGACGACUCGCGGGGCGGAUGAAGCCGGCGCAGAUGGGGAGAAGAAAGCUGCGACACCGACGAAGACGAGUUCACCCAAAAAGAGCCAGUCCAUAAACACGACGCACGCCACUUCCUGCAAAGAGAAAGCUGCAGAGGACAAACCACCGGCUUCCACUGUCUCUCCUUCUGAACAAAAAACGACAAAUGUUUGCGAAGAAACGUCUGAGCCCAGAAAAAAGAAGAAGAAGAAGAAGGAAAAGGAGGCGGGUGAUGCUGAAGUGGAAGGAAUUCCAAAUGAGACAAGUGAAGAUGGAAAAGAAAAAGAUAGUAAGGAGAAAAAGAAGCACAAGAAAAAAGUCACAGAAGAGUGUGUUGAUAGACCAGUGGAGAGUAAGAAAAAGAAAAAGGGAAAUAAAGGAGAUGAUGAAAAGAAUGACACUGAGAAGGAUGUAGUGGAGAGUAAAAGUAGCAGUGCUGGUAGCGAGGACAUAUCGGAGCCAGCAGUGAAAAAAAAGAAAGCCAAGAAGAGAAAAAAUGAAAUGAAUGAUCUAGAAGACAAUCUCGCGCACACAGAAGAAAAAGAAGUCAAGAAGAGAAAAAAGACUGAUGCCGGUGAGGGAUUUUCAGAGCAGGUGGAUCUGAAUGAAACGGUUCCUGGCAGCAAGGAAACGCUGGAGCACAAAGCCGAAGAAAAGAAAGCAAAGAAGAAGAAAAAGAGGAUAAAUGGUGAGAAUUCAGAACAAGAAGUUUGUGAAAACACAGAACCAAAUGACAGCACAGCGCUGACAAAUGACAAGAUUGCAGAGUGUGAGUGUAUUGAAGACAAAGCUGAGAAAAAGAAAGCAAAGAAGAAGAAAAAGAGGUUGGCUGGAGAGGGGAGUUUAGAGCUAGAAACAUCAGCAGUGGAAGAGAAAGUCGAUUCAGAGCAGAUUGCUGAAGAAAUGACAUUGGGGAAACAGAAAAAAGACAGUGUUGACAUCGAGGGAAGUCCUCAAGUGAAAGAAAAGAAGAAGAGAAAGAGGGACAGCACAGCUGGAGAACCCCAAGAGCACACUGUCGAAGGAAAGACGACGUUAAAGGCUAAAGCUGAGCGUAAUGGCUCGUUUUGUGAGGAAGUAGCUGAAGACAAGUUCACAACAGAAAGCAGCUUGAGCGAUGAAAAGCCGAUCCAGACGCCUGAAGGGAAGAAGAAGAAGAAGAAGAAGAAAGGGGAUUGUGCUGACUCCGAGCCGCUGCCUCCAUUCACCCUGGAGACCCCACUUACAGACAAGAAGAAAAGUAAAAAAAAAAUCCACUGUGAUCCCAGAAACUCCUGAAGCGUCGCGUCAAGGUGCUGCAGCAACGCCGACUGCCUCAAGUAGCCACAAAAAGAAAAGGAAAUCCUUGGAGAACACAGAGUUGUGAGGAUGUUUACUCCUUCGUCCCUGCUGAACCAGAGGAGGAAGGCACUUUGACUUCUCUCCCUUUUUCUGUACUUAUGGUUGGAAGAAUCGCUUAAAUCUAUCAAGUGACACCUUCGUUGUGGUACUUUAAAAACAAAAAAGUUUUCUGUUGUACAAUUGUUGUCUGCUAUGUUUUUUUUUUAAACUUGAUAUCGAUAUCUUUUAUUGAAAUGAAUGACAGUGCAGCAGAAGCCAUUGGUGUGUAAUUCAUAAACUGAUCAUUUGGAGGAGAGAGAAAUGCCCCUUUCAGUCUCAGGAAUUUCUAUUUGAACAUCUCCAGCAGCGAUUAUGUAAGAACUGGUAUGUCACGUUUUUAUGAUCAUUUUAAAUCAGACUAUCAAGCAUAGAUAAAAAAAAUAAGAAUCAGAUUAUCAAAUUGAUCCUGCCGUUUUAUUUCUGUAUACUUGCAUGUGUUUUAUCGAUUUCCCAUAAAAUGCAGACAUUUUGUGCAAAUCUUUUUUUUUUCUUUUUUUUUAACAAAUUUUGUAUUUAUUCACAGUAAGACUGUUUUUACUAUUUUGGUAUUGGAACAAAGCUCUGCAUUUGAAUUUGUAAAGACAGUUUUAAAUGUUUGAUACAGCCUUUCAUCAUGUA